SCMMAWUUCGCCCUUAGAGUUUGAUCCUGGCUCAGAACGAACGCUGGCGGCGUGCUUAACACAUGCAAGUCGAACGUGAUCCGGAGCUUGCUCCGGUGAAAGUGGCGCACGGGUGAGUAACGCGUGGAUAACCUGCCCUGGUAUCUGGGAUAACAUCUCGAAAGGGGUGCUAAUACCGGAUAAGCCUACGGACUCUUCGGAGUCUGCAGGAAAAGGUGGCCUCUAUUUAUAAGCUACCGUAUCAGGAUGAGUCCGCGUACCAUUAGCUAGUUGGUGGGGUAAUGGCCCACCAAGGCUACGAUGGUUAGCUGGUCUGARAGGAUGAUCAGCCACACUGGAACUGAGGCACGGUCCAGACUCCUACGGGAGGCAGCAGUGGGGAAUUUUGCGCAAUGGGGGAAACCCUGACGCAGCAACGCCGCGUGAGUGAUGAAGGCUUUCGGGUCGUAAAGCUCUGUCAGAGGGGAAGAAAUGAGUCUGGCUAAUAUCCAGAUUUCUUGACGGUACCCUCAAAGGAAGCACCGGCCAACUCCGUGCCAGCAGCCGCGGUAAUAC
rnacentral:rRNA from 1 species